GAUGAAGAACGCAGCGAAAUGCGAUAAGUAAUGUGAAUUGCAGAAUUCAGUGAAUCAUCGAAUCUUUGAACGCACAUUGCGCCCGCCAGUAUUCUGGCGGGCAUGCCUGUUCGAGCGUCAUUUCAACCAUCAAGCCCCCGGGCUUGUGUUGGGGACCUGCGGCUGCCGCAGGCCCUGAAAACCAGUGGCGGGCUCGCUAGUCACUCCGAGCGUAGUAGUUACAUCUCGCUCAGGGCGUGCUGCGGGUUCCGGCCGUUAAAAGCCUUUUACCCCAAGGUUGACCUCGGAUCAGGUAGGAAGACCCGCUGAACUUAAGCAUAUCAAUAAGCGGGGA
rnacentral:misc_RNA from 1 species